UGUUUCGGCAAGGGGGUCAUCCCGACUUACCAACCCGAUGCAAACUGCGAAUACCGGAGAAUGUUAUCACGGGAGACACACGGCGGGUGCUAACGUCCGUCGUGAAGAGGGAAACAACCCAGACCGCCAGCUAAGGUCCCAAAGUCAUGGUUAAGUGGGAAACGAUGUGGGAAGGCCCAGACAGCCAGGAUGUUGGCUUAGAAGCAGCCAUCAUUUAAAGAAAGCGUAAUAGCUCACUGGUCGAGUCGGCCUGCGCGGAAGAUGUAACGGGGCUAAACCAUGCACCGAAGCUGCGGCAGCGACACUAUGUGUUGUUGGGUAGGGGAGCGUUCUGUAAGCCUGUGAAGGUGUACUGUGAGGUAUGCUGGAGGUAUCAGAAGUGCGAAUGCUGACAUAAGUAACGAUAAAGCGGGUGAAAAGCCCGCUCGCCGGAAGACCAAGGGUUCCUGUCCAACGUUAAUCGGGGCAGG
rnacentral:rRNA from 1 species